rnacentral:misc_RNA from 1 species
UUUGGUGCGGCCAACCGACAUGGGGCUGUCUCUUCACUCUCCCUCCCGUCAUUGAAUUUGUCGGGGCCGGGAUGCUCGUGAUCGGUUGCCUGUGUAGCUCUACCCUGUUGUGGGUAGCGAAGUUGGCCCUCGGUUGAUAUUUGCUUGCCGUCCUGACAUUUUUUUGUCGUUCGGGCAGCCGAAAUGUUGGCGAAAUCCCUGUGCAGGUGCGUGGUCGGAUGGCCUCGUUGCUAUCGCUCGGAUUUUUGCCGGCUCUCACGGAUGCAGUGCCUAGUGCUGGCUCUGCGUGACUUUGCCCCGCAGACUUCGGGAGGUCCCCUGUACGAAUCAUUGCGAUCGGAUGCCGUUUGUCGUGUUGCUUGUUUGGCACGCAAAUCGUAUUGUUCUGUCCGGAGUCGGGAUGACGAAAGUCAGAAUGAAGUGUCUGGGGCGUGCCCGCGUACACGGGGGAUGCCUCUCGGAUCGUACGAGCUGCGAUUUCCGGCUUGCCUCCCGCGAAGGCCCGACCGUCUGGGUCGGCGCCGGAGCUG